rnacentral:tRNA from 1 species
GCGUAGGUGGUUCAGUGGUAGAAUACUCGCCUGCCACGCGGGUGGCCCGGGUUCGAUUCCCGGCCGACGCA